rnacentral:rRNA from 1 species
GAUGAUGGCGACGCAGCAGGGAGGGUGAUACGGGGGUGGGGGGCGUGGACGGGAAUCGCCGGGAGUAAAGGGAGCGGAGGCGGGGCAUGAUGGGGGUGGUGAAAUCCCGGGGCUCAACUCCGGGGCUGCCGGGCAGACUGGUGGGCUUGAGCAUGGUAGAGGCGGGUGGGAUUCCCGGGGGAGCGGUGGAAUGCGUAGAGAUCGGGAAGAAUACCGGUGGCGAAGGCGUUCCGCUGGGCCGUUGCUGACGCUGAGGCGCGACAGCGUGGGGAGCAAACAGGAUUAGAUACCCUGGUAGUC